rnacentral:lncRNA from 1 species
AACAAUUGAAAACAAUAGCUAAAAUGAAAGAAGACUGCUAGAAGAAUUUCAGAAGUAGAAAUAACAACAGUAAUCAACAACAGCUUCAACAACCAAGUGAAUCCCAGGGUUUCAAAGCCAAACUAACCACUUGAAAACCAGAAAUCCCAAGUAAAUAACCCCAGAAAGCUCUCUAUUUCAUUCCAUUUUCCAACUUAUGAACCAAAAGAGGAAAAGUUUUUGGAAAUCUUUCGAAGGCUUUCUAAAAUCUGGAAAGAGAACCUCUUUUGCAGAGAAUAAUGCCAAUGAUUG